rnacentral:rRNA from 1 species
UACGUAGGGGCCGAGCGUUGUCCGGAGUUAUUGGGCGUAAAGCGCGCGCAGGCGGCCUCGCGCGCCCGACGUGAAAGCCCCCGGCUUAACCGGGGAGGGUCGUUGGGGACGGCGGGGCUUGAGGGCGGGAGAGGGCGGUGGAAUUCCCGGUGUAGAGGUGAAAUUCGUAGAUAUCGGGAGGAACACCAGUGGCGAAGGCGGCGAUCUGGGUAGAUACUGACGCUGAGGUGCGAAAGCGUGGGGAGCAAACAGG